rnacentral:lncRNA from 1 species
CUCAGAGCUGGCAAGUCGUCCCAGGGAAGACAACGGCCUUCCUGGAGGGAGGGAACCUUGUGGUUAGGCGCAUGGGGUGCGAAGCAGGGCCUCUACUUGGCCGACGCAGCUAGAAGACUAAGGUCAGGGGCAUUCUGGAUGCAGCCCACAAAGCUAGCUCUCUGUGGCACUGAGCAAGAUCAUCUCAGCCUCUCCUGAACUGUGACCAACUGGCUUACUCAAGGGACUGGAUCUGCUGUCCCGACAUGAUGGCAAGCUGCAGCACAUCAUGCAGAUUAAAGUUCAGCCUGCCUCAGACUCAGGAUAAAAACACAUUUGGGACAGUCUCGCUCAGCCUCAUUGCAGAGACAAGAAAUGUAUGAAAAGAAAGUACAGAGAAAAAAAAAGAAUGGAAUACACAUGAAUGCCGAACCACAUUGGAUAUGUAGCUGUUCAUGAAGAUAUUCCAGGGAAGGCCUAUCUAGUAGAGCCUCAAAUCUAUUUGAAUACAAAUGGCACUCAUUAAGGACAUCUGUCUUCUGUAAUGUCUACACAAAGUCUUACCGGGGUCUUCUUGGCUCUUAUUGACGGCUGAUGAAGGAGGGGUUUAUAAAGAAAACAAGCCAAAACCUGAAUAACUUGCUACUGAGAGCAGCACACAUAUUUUCCCAAAGUGCAAAGUUGAGAAGAAGUACAAAGCUUUGUUAAUAUUCUGAACAGUACUGCUUAGUAUGAUCUAAUUGAUGGAUUUUCCAUGGACUCCCUAGAGACUGAAAAAGGUUUGACUGUCAGGAAACUUUUCUUGUGUUUAUUCUUCAAUUUUCCUUUUCCUACUUUCCAAUCAUCAUUCCCUAUUAACAUCCCUUGAUGGGUCACCUUAAGUGAUUAUUCUUUUUAAUGGCAUUUAUAACGUUUAAUAUUUCCCUGUUAAUUUCUAUUCCGACAAAGUACAUAUUUUUUUAAUCUUCACUCAUAACAUUAAUAAAUUUUUCCAACAUUUUAAAGCUCAGUUAACAUUUCCUUAUAUAUGCCUCUGUCUUUAAAAUAUGAGAUCUGAAUGUACUGGUAUCACUAGAAUUAUCUACAGAGUUCUAAUGUGAUGGAAAUUGUGCUACAAAAAUUUGUUCUUACAUAAUUUGCUUCAACGGAAUUCCUCCUGAACUAAAUACUUAGUCUUUACAUUCUUUAAAAUAACUAAAAUUUCCCAGAGGAAAGUCUGAAUUGUUCAUUUAACCUUGUGUGAUGUGUGCUGUGUGUAGCUGAAACAGCAAAGUGGACACACCUGCACCCUUAACAUUUUUGACUUUUUUUUUUUUUUUUUUAAAGAAUCAAGUUUCGUUUUUGUCACCCAAGCUGGAGUGCAGUGGUACAAUCUCCGGUCACUGCAACCUCCGCCUCCCGGGUUCAAGCGACUCUCCUGCCUCAGCCUCCCAAGUGGCUGGGAUUACAUGUGUGCACCACAAAGCCUGGGUAUUUUUUUUUUUUCAUUUUUAGUAGAGACGUGGUUUCACUAUGUUGGGCAGGCUGGUCUUGAACUCCUGAACUCAGGUGAUCCUUCCCCGCUAGGCCUCCCAAAGUGCUGGAAUUUCAGGCCUGAGCCACAGCACCUGGCCAACUGUGACUCAUUUUUAAAGCGGUUUGGCAAUAAUGCUAUAUACGUAUAAUGGUUUUGAAUAAAAUAUACAACUAUACAUGGCCUGUUAUCUUCUUAUUUUAGACAGAAUAAUCUUAGUCUUGUACUUUCAUGUAUUAGGCUGAUAGCCAUGAGAUUUGGGGAGGAAAAAAAUAGGAUAAAAUAGGACUCACUCAUUUCAAGAAAUAGAGUUAGUUUUCUAUGCAAGCAUUUUCUCCCCUUCUCCUUAGCCCACCAAAGUGGUAAAUGAGACUUCCAGCCAUGAGGCUGUUUGCACCUCUGUCUGGGAGGAGACUUCUGGAGCUUUGGUUGCUGCUAAUGACUUGGAGGGGCUUUGAAGGCCCCCUUGAAGAUGUCACGCAUGACCUCUGGACCCUUGGUAUCUUUCAAGAAUCCUUAUGAGAUACUAACUCAUUUCGUUUAUAAUAGGUGAAAACAGAUCAUGUAUUUUUAAACCAGAUAAUGCCUAAGUUAUAUUACUCUAGAAUUCAUAGAAAAAAUAAAAUAGCCGAGAUCUUUAAAAAGACUGUAAUGUGGUAUUAGUGGACUGUCUUUUUUUUUGUUUAUGGAGAGAAAAAAAUUAUUUGUAAGUUUUUUUUU